rnacentral:rRNA from 1 species
GGAAUAUUGCACAAUGGGCGCAAGCCUGAUGCAGCCACGCCGCGUGAGUGAAGAAGUAUUUCGGUAUGUAAAGCUCUAUCGGCAGGGAAGAAAGGCCCGAAAGGGAGAUGACGGUACCUGACUAAGAAGCCCCGGCUAACUACGUGCCAGCAGCCGCGGUAAUACGUAGGGGGCAAGCGUUAUCCGGAUUUACUGGGUGUAAAGGGAGCGCAGACGGCAGUGCAAGUCUGAUGUGAAAGCCCGGGGCUCAACCCCGGAACUGCAUUGGAAACUGUACAGCUUGAGUGUCGGAGAGGUAAGCGGAAUUCCUAGUGUAGCGGUGAAAUGCGUAGAUAUUAGGAGGAACACCGGUGGCGAAGGCGGCUUACUGGACGAUGACUGACGUUGAGGCUCGAAAGCGUGGGGAGCAAACA